AGGGGUGUAUUUAUUAGAUAAAAAACCAAUGCCCUCCGGGGCUGCUUGGUGAUUCAUAAUAACUUCUCAGAUCGCAUGGCCUUGCGCCGGCGACGGUUCAUUCAAAUUUCUGCCCUAUCAACUUUCGAUGGUACGGUAGUGGCCUACCAUGGUUUCAACGGGUAACGGGGAAUUAGGGUUUGAUUCCGGAGAGGGAGCCUGAGAAACGGCUACCACAUCCAAGGAAGGCAGCAGGCGCGCAAAUUACCCAAUACCGAUACGGUGAGGUAGUGACAAUAAAUACUGAUACAGGGCUCUUUAGGGUCUUGUAAUUGGAAUGAGUACAAUUUAAACCUCUUAACGAGGAACAAUUGGAGGGCAAGUCUGGUGCCAGCAGCCGCGGUAAUUCCAGCUCCAAUAGCGUAUAUUAAAGUUGUUGCAGUUAAAAAGCUCGUAGUUGAACCUUUGGCCUGGCUGGCUGGUCCGCCUCACCGCGUGCACUGGUCCGGCCGGGCCUUCUCUCCUGGGGGAACCGCAUGCCCUUCGCUGGGUGUGUUGGGGACCAGGACUUUUACUUUGAAAAAAUUAGAGUGCUCAAAGCANGCCUUUGCUCGAAUACGUUAGCAUGGAAUAAUAGAAUAGGACCGCGGUCCUAUUUUGUUGGGUUCUAAGACCGCCGUAAUGAUUAUAAGGGACAGUCCGGGGCNUCNAUAUUCA
rnacentral:rRNA from 1 species